rnacentral:sRNA from 1 species
GCCAGGUGUGGUGGUGCACAACUGUAAUCCCGGUAGCUCUGGAGGCUGAGGCAGGAGGAUCACAAGUUCAAAGCCCAGCCCCAGCAAUUUAGCGAGGCCCUAAGCAACUUAGUGAGACCCUGUCUCAA